rnacentral:rRNA from 1 species
GAUGAACGCUAGCGGCAGGCUUAACACAUGCAAGUCGAGGGGUAGAGGCUUUCGGGCCUUGAGACCGGCGCACGGGUGCGUAACGCGUAUGCAAUCUGCCUUGUACUGGGGGAUAGCCCAGAGAAAUUUGGAUUAAUACCUCAUAGUAUCUUUGCCUGGCAUCGGGUGAUUAUUAAAGUUCCAACGGUAAACGAUGAGCAUGCGUCCUAUUAGCUAGAUGGUAAGGUAACGGCUUACCAUGGCAACGAUAGGUAGGGGUCCUGAGAGGGAGAUCCCCCACACUGGUACUGAGACACGGACCAGACUCCUACGGGAGGCAGCAGUGAGGAAUAUUGGACAAUGGGCGCAAGCCUGAUCCAGCCAUGCCGCGUGCAGGAAGACGGUCCUAUGGAUUGUAAACUGCUUUUGUACGGGAAGAAACACUCCUACGUGUAGGAGCUUGACGGUACCGUAAGAAUAAGGAUCGGCUAACUCCGUGCCAGCCGCCGCUGUAACAC